UUCUAUGGAUGAAGAAGGAGAAGACGAGGGAACACAAUAAUUUCUGUGUCAUAUUAUUUGUUUCUGAUGUGGCUACUCUGGAAUACAAUUUAUGGGCGAGAGAUCAGACUUUCAGGACCCUGCUCUUUUAACUGAAAAACUGGGAGCACUAGCAGUUCUUCACAAGGAAAGUGGAUUGGACAAUGCCGCUAGCUCGGAUGGCGCCCCAUAUGGAUGUCGAUCGUGGGCGACGUGAGGAGGGAAAAGGUAG